UAUGAAGCUGGAAUCGCUAGUAAUCGCAAAUCAGAAUGUUGCGGUGAAUACGUUCCCGGGUCUUGUACACACCGCCCGUCACACCAUGGGAGCCAGGAAUGCCCGAAGCCAGUGGCCUAACCGCAAGGGAGGAGCUGUCGAAGGCAGGCCCGGUAACUGGGGUGAAGUCGUAACAAGGUAGC
rnacentral:rRNA from 1 species